rnacentral:misc_RNA from 1 species
GAAAUGCGAUAAGUAAUGUGAAUUGCAGAAUUCAGUGAAUCAUCGAAUCUUUGAACGCACCUUGCGCUCCUUGGUAUUCCGAGGAGCAUGCCUGUUUGAGUGUCAUGAAUACCUCCACCGUCCGGGCUUGUCUCGGAGGGCUGGGACUUGGGCUGUGGCGGCCUUCGGGUCGGCUGGCCUGGAAUGCAUUAGCGGGACGUCUGUGGCCCUCCGGUGUAGUAAUGCUAUUCACCGCGAGGCCUCGGGCGGACGGCUUCGAGUCGCGCUCGUCUGCGCAACAUUUCAGUGUUUGACCUCAAAUCAGGUAGGACUACCCGCUGAACUUAA